ACAGUUACGAAAGAUGGUGUUCCGCUAUUUUCCUAUUAGUACCAAAAGUGUUCCGCCGCUACAAAAAGAUUGAGAAUCACUGGAUUAAACCAACAAUAAUUAUUAUACGUAACGGAUUUUUACUAGUCGAUGCUUUAGGUCCCGAUAUAUUCUUUCUUAUUGGAAUUUACUUCACCGUAUAGUCGAUGGUCAUGAUUUAUAACGCCAUCAUAGACUGGUUCGAAAAGUCGCGCCUAUUAUUUUUAUUUGAUUAGGCAAUUUAAUGGUGGUAAUAAAUACUAGUCAGUGGAUAGUCUGGUCAGCCAAAUAUUGGCCCGGCCGAGCGUUCGAAUCUGGAGAAUCGGGAUUCGAUGAAGGAUCCCAGUAUGGCCAACGCUUUAAGGGAGGAUCCCCGUCCCAAUUCGAUAUCGUACUACCGACGACAAGAAAUACUACAACAAGUUCGAUGGCCAGACCAAACCUCGGUAACUAAACGAUAAUUUUCUACCUAUUUAUUUAGAAAGAAUCCAAUUAUAUCCAGAAAUUUUCCAUUUAGUGGGUAAUAUUUAUUAAAUUUUGAUAUAAUUUAUAGAGCGAGGGAAUUGCGUG
rnacentral:lncRNA from 1 species